rnacentral:rRNA from 1 species
AGUGAACGCUGGCGGUAGGCCUAACACAUGCAAGUCGAACGGCAGCACAGUAAGAGCUUGCUCUUACGGGUGGCGAGUGGCGGACGGGGGAGGAAUACAUCGGAAUCUACUUUUUCGUGGGGGAUAACGGAGGGAAACUUACGCUAAUACCGCAUACGACCUACGGGGGAAAGCAGGGGAUCUUCGGACCUUGCGCGAUUGAAUGAGGCGAUGUCGGAUUAGCUAGUUGGCGGGGUAAAGGCCCACCAAGGCGACGAUCCGUAGCUGGUCUGAGAGGAUGAUCAGCCACACUGGAACUGAGACACGGUCCAGACUCCUACGGGAGGCAGCAGUGGGGAAUAUUGGACAAUGGGCGCAAGCCUGAUCCAGCCAUACCGCGUGGGUGAAGGAGGCCUUCGGGUUGUAAAGCCCUUUUGUUGGGAAAGAAAAGCAGCAGGUUAAUACCCCGCUGUUCUGACGGUACCCAAAGAAUAAGCACCGGCUAACUUCGUG